AGACGUCUACAUUAGACUACCCGGUAGUCCCAGCCGUAAACUAUGCUCGCUAGGUGUCAGGCAUGGCGCGACCGUGUCUGGUGCCGCAGGGAAGCCGUGAAGCGAGCCACCUGGGAAGUACGGCCGCAAGGCUGAAACUUAAAGGAAUUGGCGGGGGAGCACAACAACGGGUGGAGCCUGCGGUUUAAUUGGACUCAACGCCGGACAACUCACCGGGGACGACAGCAAUAUGUAGGCCAGGCUGAAGACCUUGCCUGAAUCGCUG
rnacentral:rRNA from 1 species